rnacentral:rRNA from 1 species
CAGCCGCCGCGGGAAUACGUAGGGUGCAAGCGUUAAUCGGAAUUACUGGGCGUAAAGCGUGCGCAGGCGGUGUUGUAAGACUGAUGUGAAAUCCCCGGGCUCAACCUGGGAACUGCAUUGGUGACUGCAACGCUGGAGUGCGGCAGAGGGGGAUGGAAUUCCGCGUGUAGCAGUGAAAUGCGUAGAUAUGCGGAGGAACACCGAUGGCGAAGGCAAUCCCCUGGGCCUGCACUGACGCUCAUGCACGAAAGCGUGGGGAGCAAACAGGAUUAGAUACCCCCGUAGUCCCUGUCUCUUAUAA